rnacentral:rRNA from 1 species
AUGUGAAUUCAUAGCAUGUCAGAAGGCAGACCCGGAGAACUGAAACAUCUUAGUACCCGGAGGAAGAGAAAGAAAAAUCGAUUCCCUGAGUAGCGGCGAGCGAAACGGGAAGAGCCCAAACCAACAAGCUUGCUUGUUGGGGUUGUAGGACACUCUAUACGGAGUUACAAAAGAACAUGUUAGACGAAUCAUCUGGAAAGAUGAAUCAAAGAAGGUAAUAAUC